UACGUAGGGUGCGAGCGUUGUCCGGAAUUAUUGGGCGUAAAGAGCUUGUAGGCGGUUUGUCGCGUCUGCUGUGAAAAUCCGGGGCUCAACCCCGGACUUGCAGUGGGUACGGGCAGACUAGAGUGUGGUAGGGGAGACUGGAAUUCCUGGUGUAGCGGUGAAAUGCGUAGAUAUCAAGUGGAACACCAGUGGCGAAGGCGAGUCUCUGGACAUUUCCUGACGCUGAGGCACGAAAGCCAGGGGAGCAAACGGG
rnacentral:rRNA from 1 species